rnacentral:tRNA from 1 species
GGAAGCGUGGCAGAGCGGCCGAAUGCAUCCGCCUUGAAAGCGGACGUACCGAAAGGUACCGGGGGUUCAAAUCCCUCCGCUUCCGCGA